CUUUUAUUGGAUAUCGACCGUCACAUGUCGUGAUUUUAUUGAAGAUUGACGUUAAUUAGGUGCACAAAAUUAAUGUCUAAUAAAAGCGUGAUAUAUGACAAUCAACGUUG
rnacentral:pre_miRNA from 1 species